GCCCCCAUAGCUCAAAUGGAUAGAGCGACGGUUUCCUAAACCGCUGAUCCCUGUUCAAUUCAGGGUGGGGGUACCA
rnacentral:tRNA from 1 species